rnacentral:rRNA from 1 species
GACGAACGCUGGCGGCGUGCCUAAUACAUGCAAGUCGGGCGGAGCUUGCCUGGCGGAAGCCUUCGGGUGGAAGCCGGGUGAGCUUAGCGGCGGACGGGUGAGUAACACGUGGGCAACCUGCCCGGAAGACCGGGAUAACAUCCGGAAACGGAUGCUAUUACCGGAUAGGCGGAUCUUUCGCAUGAGGGGUUCGGGAAAGGCGGGGCGACCUGCCGCUUCCGGAUGGGCCCGCGGCGCAUUAGCUGGUUGGUAGGGUAACGGCCUACCAAGGCGACGAUGCGUAGCCGACCUGAGAGGGUGGCCGGCCACACUGGGACUGAGACACGGCCCAGACUCCUACGGGAGGCAGCAGUAGGGAAUCUUCCGCAAUGGGCGAAAGCCUGACGGAGCAACGCCGCGUGAGUGAGGAAGGUCUUCGGAUCGUAAAGCUCUGUUGCCAGGGAAGAAGUCUUGGGAGAGUAACUGCUCCCGAGGUGACGGUAC